GGAGGCGUCUGGGUGCCUGGUGGCCCCCGCGGUCUUCAAAACCGUUGAGACCGAGACCCUCGGCCUGGCGGGUUCGAUUCCCGUCCGCCUCCG
rnacentral:tRNA from 1 species